rnacentral:rRNA from 1 species
AUUGAACGCUGGCGGCAGGCUUAACACAUGCAAGUCGAGCGGAGAGAGGUAGCUUGCUACUGAUCUUAGCGGCGGACGGGUGAGUAAUGCUUAGGAAUCUGCCUAUUAGUGGGGGACAACAUUUCGAAAGGAAUGCUAAUACCGCAUACGUCCUACGGGAGAAAGCAGGGGAUCUUCGGACCUUGCGCUAAUAGAUGAGCCGGUGUCGGAUUAGCUAGUUGGUAGGGGAAAGGCCUACCAAGGAGACGAUCUGUAGCGGGUCUGAGAGGAUGAUCCGCCACACUGGGACUGAGACACGGCCCAGACUCCUACGGGAGGCAGCAGUGGGGCAUUUUGGACAAUGGGGGAAACCCUGAUCCAGCCAUGCCGCGUGAGUGAAGAAGGCCUUCGGGUUGUAAAGCUCUUUCGGCUGGGAAGAAAUCGCACAGGCUAAUACUCUGUGUGGAUGACGGUACCAGCAUAAGAAGCACCGGCUAACUACGUGCCAGCCGCCGCUGUAACAC